rnacentral:rRNA from 1 species
ACGCUGGCGGCAGGCCUAACACAUGCAAGUCGAGCGGCAGCACGGGGAGCUUGCUCCCUGGUGGCGAGCGGCGGACGGGUGAGUAAUGCAUAGGAAUCUGCCCGGUAGUGGGGGAUAACGUGGGGAAACCCACGCUAAUACCGCAUACGUCCUACGGGAGAAAGCGGAGGAUCUUCGGACUUCGCGCUAUCGGAUGAGCCUAUGUCGGAUUAGCUAGUUGUAAGGUAACGGCUUACCAAGGCGACGAUCCGUACUGGUCUGAGAGGAUGAUCAGCCACACUGGGACUGAGACACGGCCCAGACUCCUACGGGAGGCAGCAGUGGGGAAUAUUGGACAAUGGGCGAAAGCCUGAUCCAGCCAUGCCGCGUGUGUGAAGAAGGCUUUCGGGUUGUAAAGCACUUUCAGCGAGGAAGAAAGCCUCUGGGUUAAUACCCCAGAGGAAAGACAUCACUCGCAGAAGAAGCACCGGCUAACUCCGUGCCAGCAGCCGCGGUAAUACGGAGGGUGCGAGCGUUAAUCGGAAUUACUGGGCGUAAAGCGCGCGUAGGUGGCUUGGCACGCCGGUUGUGAAAGCCCCGGGCUCAACCUGGGAACGGCAUCCGGAACGGCCAGGCUAGAGUGCAGGAGAGGAAGGUAGAAUUCCCGGUGUAGCGGUGAAAUGCGUAGAGAUCGGGAGGAAUACCAGUGGCGAAGGCGGCCUUCUGGCCUGACACUGACACUGAGGUGCGAAAGCGUGGGUAGCAAACACGGAGUUAGAUAUCCCUGGUAGUCCACGCCGUAAACGAUGUCGACUAGCCGUUGGGACUUAAGGACUUAGUGGCGCAGUUAACGCAUAAGUCGACCGCCUGGGGAGUACGGCCGCAAGGUAAAACUCAAAUGAAGUGACG